AAUCAUAUGAAUAAUCAUUUCUAG
rnacentral:miRNA from 1 species